CCUACGGGAGGCAGCAAUCGAGAAUCAUUCACAAUGGGGGAAACCCUUAUUUUUCUACUCCUCUUUUUUUAAUUCAUUUCUUCUUCUUUUCAACCCCUGUCAUGUGGGAGCAAAUUAAAAAGAUAGUACCACAAGAGGAAGAGACGGCUAACUCUGUGCCAGCAGCCGCGGUAAUACAGAGGUCUCAAGCGUUGUUCGGAAUCACUGGGCGUAAAGCGUGCGUAGGCUGUUUCGUAAGUCGUGUGUGAAAGGCGCGGGCUCAACCCGCGGACGGAACAUGAUACUGCGAGACUAGAGUAAUGGAGGGGGAACCGGAAUUCUCGGUGUAGCAGUGAAAUGCGUAGAUAUCGAGAGGAACACUCGUGGCGAAGGCGGGUUCCUGGACAUUAACUGACGCUGAGGCACGAAGGCCAGGGGAGCGAAAGGGAUUAGAUACCCUGGUAGUC
rnacentral:rRNA from 1 species